rnacentral:lncRNA from 1 species
GUGCUGGGGAUAUAACGGUGAGCAAGAGAGACCACCGCCCUUGUUCCCGCGGAUCCUGCAGCCCAGUGGAUGGAGUCCACGGUACCUAGACCUGCCAGGAAAGACAGAAAUUUUCCUGAUGGUUGGUCCAAACAGGGACUCCCUGGUGGACUGAGGGAUGGCUGGCUUUUCCUCAGUUCCUGCAUCUCAGGCAGCCCCCAGAAGACCUGGAGAAUGAGAGGCCUGAGGUCUACAGGUUGCUGCUAGAAAUAUUUUAGCCCCUCCAGAAAACAGAAUGCAGCUGCCGCACAAGUUUGUAAGGACUCUGGGCGCCCGCUGACCGCGCGCUGGCCGCCUCGCACUUCGCUCCAGGUGCCCGCCCGGGGCGCUGCCAUAGCAACGGCCUGGACGCCCAGACCUUAGGCCGCCGCCGCCGGGACCCGGCCUUCUCCCGCUCCCGAGGGGUGGGGCGGCGGCGGCCCGGGCCGGGAAGACGGGACUGCCCCCUCCCCCGAUGCCGGCGGAGGCGGCGGAUUUGCUUCCAAGCAUGCCCUUUCAGAAGCACGUCUACUACCCGCUCGCCGCCGGCGGCGGCCUGGAGGCACCCGACGCCUCCGCAGCGGCCGCGGCGGGCGGGGCCGCCAUGGCCUGUGGCCCCCCCAGCGCGGCGUCGGGCCCCCUGCCCUUCUUCCAGUUCCGCCCGCGGCUGGAGAGCGUGGACUGGCGGCGGCUGAGCGCCAUCGACGUGGACAAGGUGGCGGGCGCCGUGGACGUCCUCACGCUGCAGGAGAACAUCAUGAACAUCACCUUCUGCAAGCUGGAGGACGAGAAGUGCCCUCACUGCCAGUCAGGCGUGGACCCGGUGCUGCUGAAGCUCAUCCGCUUGGCGCAGCUCACCAUCGAGUACCUGCUGCACUCGCAGGAGUUCCUCACCUCGCAGCUGCACGGCCUGGAGGAGCGGCUGCGCCGGAGCCUGGCCGAAGGCGAGCACAGCAAGAAGCUCCUCACCAAGCAGGCCGGCGAGAUCAAGCUGCUCAAGGAAGAGUGUAAACGCAGGAAGAAGUUGAUCUCCACCCAGCAGCUGAUGAUCGAGGCCAAAGCCAGCUAUUACCAGUGUCAUUUUUGUGACAAGGCCUUUAUGAACCAAGCUUUCCUACAAAGUCAUAUUCAGCGCCGUCACCCUGAAGAUUCGCAUCUUGAGUAUAAGGCAAGGGCUCAGACGGACAAGCUCCAAAGUGAGAUCGACAUGUUGAAGGAGCAGCUGCAGCUCACCAAGUCUCAGCUAGAGGCUGCACAGCAUGCCCACGCAGUCAGGCUCUCUAAGGAAUAUGAAAUGCAGAAAACAAAAGAGGAAGAAUUUCUGAAGUUAUUCGAUAGAUGGAAAGAAGAAGAAAAGGAGAAACUAGUUGAUGAAAUGGAAAAAGUCAAGGAAAUGUUUAUGAAGGAGUUUAAAGAACUGACUUCUAAGAACUCAGCAUUAGAAUACCAAUUGUCAGAAAUCCAGAAGUCCAAUAUGCAGAUCAAGUCUAACAUAGGCACGCUAAAAGAUGCGCAUGAGUUUAAAGAAGAACGUCCACAGCAUCCCCAGGAUUUCCAAAAUGUGAUGCAGCUACUUGACAAUCAGGAAAGCAAGUGGACAGCUCGUGUUCAGGCUCUUCAUCAAGAACACAAGAAAGAAAAGAGCCGGCUCCUGUCACAUAUAGAGAAACUUCGAACUUCAAUGAUAGACGAUCUAAAUGCAAGUAAUGUCUUCUAUAAGAAAAGGAUAGAAGAGCUAGGGCAGAGGCUCCAGGAACAGAACGAGCUGAUCAUCACUCAGAGACAGCAGAUUAAAGAGUUCACCAGUAAACCGUUAAACAGUGUCAGUGAACCCAAAGGGAAUCUUUUAACCUGGCAAACUUUUGAACCUAAGCCAACUGCCCCAACUGUACCAAUGAAUGCCCCAGCCCCCCAGACACUGGAUGCGAAGUCGAGUCUAACAAUGGCACAUGAACAGGCAUUCUCAUCGCACAUACUGGAACCAAUAGAAGAACUUUCAGAGGAAGAAAAAGGAAGAGAAAAUGAACAGAAAUUAAAUGACAACAAGAUACAUAUAAGGAAAACUUUGAAGAAUAACCCUUCCCUCACUAAGGAAAUAAGAACCGUCUUGGAGCAGAGUUUGGUGGAGAAACUGGAAACCUUGGGAAUUAAUGCAGAUAUACGUGGUAUUCCAAGCGAUCACUUGAAUAGAGUGCUAAGAACUGUAGAAUCAACAAGACAUGAGCGAGAAAGACAAAUACCUAACAUUCAGCAAAUUCGAGAAUUCCUUGAACAUCAGGUCAGCUGUAAAAUUGAAGAGAGAACACUGCUGUCCACAGACAGGUAUGGUGCUUCUCAAAUGGACACCCUUUCAACUGGAGAACUACCCAAAGCAAUACACCUUCCUCCCAAAAGCAGACAGCUGAUUAGACAAAGACCUGUUUUUUCUGAUAGAACAUCCGUUCCAAAAGUUAAGAAAAAUGCCACAGAAGAUCAUUUUCCCAGGAGGUCUUCCACUAUUGUGACUCCUCCCUUCAGUUCCGAGGAGGAGCUGGAUGCUGACGACCUCAUCCAGGCGUUCACUUCCCCAGAUGUACUUCCUGUGCUGUCGUCUAAAAGCAACAAGAGUAGUUUUGGAAAGAGCGCUGUCGUCAAAAGCGACACUGACUGGACCGAGGGAAGUGAAAUUGAGGACUCUGAUAUUUCCCCCAAGCCCACAGGAACCUCCAUUAAAACAUUAACUGGAAAAGUUGAAAAGACGGUUUCAAAUCACAGAAAUAUGAAUAAGCCAGUUGGUGGAAUUAAUGUUGCUGACAUGUUCAUCAAAAAAGAACUAAAAGAAGAUCUAAAGUGUACAGAUGUGGAUGAUGAUGACUGGGACAUAUCAUCCUUAGAGGAAGACAGAUCUAUAGGAAGAAAAGCUGGGAGAGAACAGAAGGAACCUCCUCCACCUGUGAAGAAUGAGUCAAAUUCUACUCAAGUGCCAAAUGCCUGGGGUGCAGCUAACCCGAAAGGACUCAAGGGAGAAGGACCUCAGGAUGAGUCCAGUACACUGAAAAGCAGCUUAGUAACCGUGACUGAAUGGAGCGACUCUUCAGACGUGUAACCGUCACCCUGUGCGUCAGGAGGUCCGUCCAGACUUCAGCAGUAUUUGGUAUCGUGCUAUUUCAGCACUGCCUACGCAACUAUGAUUGUCCUGCCUGACAGUAUCUCCUGCAAUAACAAGGAAACCGGCUCUCAGAGAACAAGAGUCUCUUUAAUGGCACCUAAUACAGUGUUAAAAACACAUACACACAAAUUGUCAACAGUAUUUUGAAGCAUAUAAAGGUGUUUAAGAAUGCUGCUGCUGCUUAAAAAUAAUGUGUCAACCGAAGUCAUAAAAAGUUUUUUCUUCAGAACAGUACUCUA